CUAUAAUGCAAGUCGAGCGAACAGAUAAGGAGCUUGCUCCUUUGACGUUAGCGGCGGACGGGUGAGUAACACGUGGGUAACCUACCUAUAAGACUGGGAUAACUUCGGGAAACCGGAGCUAAUACCGGAUAACAUUUGGAACCGCAUGGUUCUAAAGUGAAAGAUGGUUUUGCUAUCACUUAUAGAUGGACCCGCGCCGUAUUAGCUAGUUGGUAAGGUAACGGCUUACCAAGGCGACGAUACGUAGCCGACCUGAGAGGGUGAUCGGCCACACUGGAACUGAGACACGGUCCAGACUCCUACGGGAGGCAGCAGUAGGGAAUCUUCCGCAAUGGGCGAAAGCCUGACGGAGCAACGCCGCGUGAGUGAUGAAGGGUUUCGGCUCGUAAAACUCUGUUAUUAGGGAAGAACAAAUGUGUAAGUAACUGUGCACGUCUUGACGGUACCUAAUCAGAAAGCCACGGCUAACUACGUGCCAGCAGCCGCGGUAAUACGUAGGUGGCAAGCGUUAUCCGGAAUUAUUGGGCGUAAAGCGCGCGUAGGCGGUUUCUUAAGUCUGAUGUGAAAGCCCACGGCUCAACCGUGGAGGGUCAUUGGAAACUGGGAAACUUGAGUGCAGAAGAGGAAAGUGGAAUUCCAUGUGUAGCGGUGAAAUGCGCAGAGAUAUGGAGGAACACCAGUGGCGAAGGCGACUUUCUGGUCUGUAACUGACGCUGAUGUGCGAAAGCGUGGGGAUCAAACAGGAUUAGAUACCCUGGUAGUCCACGCCGUAAACGAUGAGUGCUAAGUGUUAGGGGG
rnacentral:rRNA from 1 species